CGUGGGGGGGGGGGAGCCAGCCCCAGCUAAUGGCAAGGGCCAGCUUUUCCAAGGUGCGCAUUCAGAUUUGAAGGUGCCUCUCCCCCCCUUCUCUUUUCCUUCCUCGGAGCCAGAGAGCGCGAGGGAUCCCUGAGCAAGCAGGUCAACUCAGGUUACCUCAACAGGUAUAAGACCCCGGAGGGGGUCUGGAUGUCAACAAGAGAGAGCAGGUACUCUAACCCCCAAAAGAUGGGCUCCCCAGGGGGGUCCUUACAUCCGGGGACUUUGAGGAGGAACAAGCACAGUGUCUCCCCAAACACUUGAGGCAGCAGCAGCCCCCCUGUCUCCUGCCCCUCCCCAGGUGGGAAGCUGCCAGAUCUUCCCUAGGCCCUUACGGUUCCCCUGCCUGCCUGCUGUGGACAGUGGUGAGGGCCAGAGGCUGGGGGCACUCCGUAGACCCAGUCAGGCUUCACUGCACCUUCAGACACCAGCUCCUGCCUGAGACAGGAAGCCCAGGCAAUAGUCACGAGAUUGCCUGGAGGCUCUGAGAGCAAAGCUGCUUGUGGGGACAGAGAAGGAGAGGGCAGCUGGUGGGUUCCUGGCCUUCUGUUUGGGCUGCUCCCGGAGGUUUCUUCUUAGGAGACAACGGGUAUCUGGGUUGGAGGAGACCAGAGCAGGCCUCUGACUUGUCCCUGCAUACCCUAACCCCAUAGGAAAUGCCAGUUUGGCCUGGAGGGGCCCUCUGGCUUCACCGCACCCCCUCCACUUCCCCAGGCAGGCUGCCCAGGCCAGGAUGUGGAUGGGAACUGUCAACAGACACUCUUUAAAUAUUUACACACACUUUCUCUGGGGGGUUUCCCCCAUCCUAGAGCCUGGGUAAAUUCAAGUUGAUUCUAAGGCAUAAAAGAACCUUAUUCCAUCAGCACCCUUCUCUGGCCACAACUGUGUACAGUUGUGUGGACUUAACACAGAGAGAAAAGGGAGAAGGUCAGAGAGCUGUGGAUAUGUGUGCUGUGUGCAGAUGAAUGAAGAAGAGGAAUAAGAAUGAUUUUUCCAGUCCUCUGCUCCACAGUGGAGUGAGGUUGCUACACUCAGGGCAACACAGAGGCACACUCGGGAUCCAUACAUACCGUGCUACCUUCCACACUGAGAAACAUUCAGUGCACGCUCACGAAACUGUCAUGCAUGCUGGAAGCACCCCUGUUACCUCACAGACACUGUACACACCCAGGCACAUGCAAAAAUAAGAUGCGAUAAACACAUAUGCAUCUUUAGAUCUUUGCAUUAGGCGAAAAAAAAAAUGUGCUCCCUAUUUCCCUGCCACAUCCUGGGGUUUCGGGGUUGGAUGAGGAAGGAGGCGGUCAGAAAACCAGAUCUUUUUCUUCCCCUUCUGGAGCCCAGUUCUGAGGAUGGAGAAAGAAAUGAAAGAGCAGGGGUGGAUGCUGUAGAGAGAACAAGCCCCCUCCUCUCUAUUAACUAAGUCACUGCUGGUGAAAUGGCCAAUCUCAGCCAAAUUCCCAAAGGAGAGUUACUGAUGCCCCAGCAGGAGACAUUUCCAGGAUCCCCUGAAUUUGGAGGGAAUCCCCCCACCCCCGUGACACCCAGAACUCUGGCCCUGGAGCAGCAGGAGGGGGAGGUCAACGAAGGGCUGUGCCAGGGCUGAGGCCUCCCCAGGGUCCAGGACAGUGGGGGGCAUGACAGAGGUCUCCUCCGCUGCCGCACAAGCCCCAGCCUUGGUUCCAGCCCUGCCUCCUCUGAGCUAGUUCUGCGGGUACGGAGCUGAAGGAGACAGACUCUGGGCUCCCAGCAUCUAGGUCACUGGGGACUGUCAUAAAUACUUUCCCUUCCCCUCCUGGAAAGAGGAGGCUGGGCAGGCCGGAUCCGCUCUGGGGCCUGCGCCUUAUCUUUUAGGGGGUGGGGGGAUAUCUUGACAUUUUAUGGUCCAGCGAAAACCCUGCCACAGAGCUAUUCUUCCGGGCCUUUGUGUCUUGGAAUGCGACUGUCCCGAGUGUGCCGCCAGCACCGCCUGCUCCCACCAGUUCCGAAACCCCAGGCUGGACUUGGUUUCCCCUUUUGCGGGUGGGGUCCCUCGCCUUUUCUUUCUUUCGUUCAUUUGAUUGUUUUUUCUUUUACACGUAUCUGAGUGAUUUCGCUCCCGGAGCCUGGAAAUAAAGGAACGCAAGCAGCCAUCGUUGCUGGGGUGUCUCUGUCCCUCGCCCCGAGGCCCACACCGCCCUCCUAGCGAUUAUUUUCGACGCCCGCCCUCCUGAGCCUCCUGAGUCGGCUGCCAGAGCGAGGGCCCAUCUCCCGCCGCCACUCGCGAUUUAUUUACACCUCGCAGAACUGCCGCGAUUUCCCCCGCAUUCAGGCGCAUUUCUGGCCUCGGAACACCUCCGCGCCCGCAGAUGCACUCUCCGAAGCUCCCACGACCGCCUGCCCCCGGCGCGCACUCUAAAACUCCUCGGCCCUCUUACCCUGCUGCUGGCUCCGCAUCGCCUAUUCCGCCGCCGCCCGCAGGACUUUGGGGUGGGACUCUGACUUCUCCCGGCUGUUUGCCCCCUGGUUUGUAGCCCAUCCCUCUCUCUCACGCGCGCUCUCUCGCCACCUCUCCCUCCCAGCCAGUGAGGUCCUGUUCUCCGUGGGCCAUAGACAAAACAUUCCUAUAAUCCGAUUUCAAAGGAAAGAGUGUCCACCUUAUUUAAACCAUAAAACAAUUAAGCCCAGACGUCUAGCCAGCUCCGCGCUGCUGUUUUGUUCUGCCCCAUUCAGAAUCCAGCGCAGGGAGACAAACAGCGCCAUAAAAGUGGCAUUUCGGGACCGCGGAAAUGUACCUAUCCUCUGCCUUCCCAAGUGGAACAACCUUUAGGGUUUUGUGAUUCUGACAAAGGAGCAGAGGAGAGGUGGGAGGGGAAGAUUAGGGCGGGGUGGGGGGCGUUUGCCAGCCCCUCUUCCCCCCCCCCUUCCCCGGGCUUUCGCUGCUUUCCCCAGAUGUGUGUUGUGCUGUCGUGGUUUGGAGUCACAAAUGACAAUAAAUAAAAAUCGAAUCCAAUCCUGA